GUGAAUCAUCAAAUUUUUGAACGCAAAUUGCGCUUCCUGGCAUCCCGGGGAGUAUGCCUGUUUGAGGGUCAGUAUUAAUAAAAAGUCGGUGUGGUUGCAAUUUGGGACGUGUCCGGAGUUUGGCAUAUCUUAACAUUUUUAGUUAAGAGGCUUCAAAGUAACCUUUUUUGCGCAGUUGUAAAAGUACAUAAAUUUGUAUUAGUCGUCUAUUCGUAGUUCCAAAAUCUUAUUCGGUGCGAUCACAUCGGGUGACGUCGUGUCCAUAGAA
rnacentral:misc_RNA from 1 species